ACACUCCUACGGGAGGCAGCAGUGGGGAAUAUUGCACAAUGGGCGCAAGCCUGAUGCAGCCAUGCCGCGUGUAUGAAGAAGGCCUUCGGGUUGUAAAGUACUUUCAGCGGGGAGGAAGGCGAUAAGGUUAAUAACCUUGUCGAUUGACGUUACCCGCAGAAGAAGCACCGGCUAACUCCGUGCCAGCAGCCGCGGUAAUACGGAGGGUGCAAGCGUUAAUCGGAAUUACUGGGCGUAAAGCGCACGCAGGCGGUCUGUCAAGUCGGAUGUGAAAUCCCCGGGCUCAACCUGGGAACUGCAUUCGAAACUGGCAGGCUAGAGUCUUGUAGAGGGGGGUAGAAUUCCAGGUGUAGCGGUGAAAUGCGUAGAGAUCUGGAGGAAUACCGGUGGCGAAGGCGGCCCCCUGGACAAAGACUGACGCUCAGGUGCGAAAGCGUGGGGAGCAAACAGGAUUAGAAACCCCUGUAGUCC
rnacentral:rRNA from 1 species